rnacentral:rRNA from 1 species
UGGGGAAUAUUGGGCAAUGGGCGCAAGCCUGACCCAGCAACGCCGCGUGAGGGAAGAAGGUCUUCGGAUUGUAAACCUCUGUCCUUGGGGACGAAAAAAAUGACGGUACCCAAGGAGGAAGCUCCGGCUAACUACGUGCCAGCAGCCGCGGUAAUACGUAGGGAGCGAGCGUUGUCCGGAAUUACUGGGCGUAAAGGGUGCGUAGGCGGCAAUGCAAGUCAGAUGUGAAAUCCCCGGGCUUAACUCGGGGGGUGCAUUUGAAACUGCAUAGCUUGAGUGCAGGAGAGGAAAGCGGAAUUCCUAGUGUAGCGGUGAAAUGCGUAGAUAUUAGGAGGAACACCAGUGGCGAAGGCGGCUUUCUGGACUGUAACUGACGCUGAUGCACGAAAGCGUGGGGAGCAAACA